rnacentral:rRNA from 1 species
CACCUCUUCCCAUCCCGAACAGAGAAGUUAAACCUUACCACGCCGAUGAUACUGCGAAAGCGGGAAAGUAGGUAACCGCCCCCU